CACUGAAAUAUGAUGGUUAAUAAGUUAUCAAUACGAUACCAAUUACGGCGAUUUUAUUCACUUCCUUUCACUACUGUCUCUGUGUUUCCUUGCUUUUUCAUCCAACAACAUCCAACAGAAACAUAUUCUGUCAUUCUUUGCGAUUUUAUUACCCACAACUUGAAUGUCCAACGAGUUCUAGGUUUUUGGUUUGUAUACAGAUUCAGAGGGGAGAGUUUACGAGAGGCACAUGAAGGCAGCAUUACAGAGGAAGUGCUCCACCUGAGAAAAGCGAAUAAAGAGCUGCCUUUGUGCAUACCAAAAAUGUUGAGCAUUUCCUUAGGCGGUGGUGAGGUUCAUACGUUUUCCCUCAAUUGGGGCAUAAUAAUAAAUAAUAAAUCGGGUCAUACUUGGCCAUUUCUCCACUUCCUUCCUGGCCUGCACAUACUGGGACUCUCCCACAUUUAGCUGCUGCAUUCUGACCCUGCUACUGUAAUGCUGGUAGAAGGGUCAAGGUGUUUGCAUGCACCAUGAGAACAUCAGUAAUGUUUAUUACUGCAGCAGAAUGUUCCUCUCAGCUGCUCCUUGGCCUGGUACUUGGCUUCUUUGCAGACCUCCACUCCAGGCUGUGAUUGCUCAUUUAACCAGUGACCUCUGAUUAACUGCAGCAAUACUUGUAGGAUUAUUCGUCAGCAAUGCCAGCUCAGGGCAGGAUGUUAAAGUUGCUGCACACUUUGUUUUUUUCCCCACCUGCUAACAGCUAAAACAACAUUUGCUUGUCCAGUCAUCAUGCAGGGUUUUAUGAAUGAGUUUCCACAACACAUUGUUUGCAAGUUCUGAUAUUUGCAUCACUUUUGAUGAGCAGAGGUCAAAGGAUAUUUUAGGGCAUAAAUUCAUUUAAGCAUUUUUAAUUUUUGCUCUCUGGUGGCACCUAUUAUGGUAUAAGAUUAUCACUAAUAGCUUUAGUAUUUGUUUCUUCUCUUUUUAGCCAUGUUAUUGGAUGGAUUGCAAUGAAAUGUUGUACAAACAUUCAUGGACUUUGAAUCCAGCGCCACCAGCAAGUUGACAUUUGUUUUUAGUGAAAUGUCUUAACAACUACUGGAUACAACUACAAGAAAUAUGGUACAGAUAUUCAUGGUGUCUGAACAGACAUUCAUCAUCCCCAGAGGAUAAAUCGUAAAGACCCGAUGGCGAUCACCUAUUCCUCAAGCGCCACUAUGAGGCUGACAUUUGUAGUUUUAAGUAAAAUGUCUCAACAACUAUUGGAUGGAUUGCUAUGACAUUUGCUACAGGCAUUCAUGUCCCCCUCAGGAUAAAUUGCAAUAACUGUGAUGAUGUGAACUUUGGCUCGCUAUCACUUAAGAAGAGAUCAGCUGAGAGUGCAGUGUAAACACACAAAACAUUGCUUUGGAUAAUUAUCAUGUCUUUCUUUAUGGGCCUUUGUGAACCUCCUGUGCUCUGCGGGUCUGCUCUUUUCCAUAAAUAUAGGAUUUGCAAAACGGCCACUGACAGCAAGUCAUGAAUUUGAUUGUCUGCACACAAAUACUUGCAGCAGCUCCCACAGAUGUUUGACACUUUUGUCAAAGCAACAAGACACAGUACCACCUCAGUAAAAACAUCUCUACAAUACCUCAUAAAAAGGUCUUGUAUCUACUAAUCUGCUCAAUAAUGUUGCUUGAGACAAAUCUUCGUUCCAAGCGUCUGUCCAACAACUCUGCCACAUCUGGAUUUGUCUGGGAAGAAUUUGAUUUUAAAGGGUGUGAAGGACUUGAAGAGGGCAAAUAUAUUUGGGCUUUUUGUACAAUACUGUGCUUUGCUCUUGGUUUUCCUCCAUCUAUUGCCAUCCUCUGGGAGAUGUUUAAGACAUACAGGAGAGGAACACCCUUCACACCAAAUGAUUUUUUCAUACUGAACCUCUCCAUCAUGGAUGUUGUCUUCUUGGCCUUCAUCCCACCUGGAUUAUUAAAUCAUUUCAUCUGGGAGAGUUGGGUGUUUGAAGCGAGUUGGAAUGGUGUUUAUGCCUUGAACACAUGUGGGAGACCCUUCCUGAUGGCUUGUAUCUGCCUGGACUGUUACCUGGCUGUGGUUCAUCCAAUCACCUACUGCAAGAGGAAAAGUCUGACUCCCAGGGUUGUGAUGGCUGGCAUUGUUUGGACUUUGACGGUUGCCAGUGGGAUUGCAUACUGUCUUUUUUACAAGUUAUUCUUCACCAUGUUUUUCACUGUGCCUUUUAUGAUAUGAUGAUUCUUUCCUUGAUUACAUUUAUUUAAUGUUGUGUUGUUCUUGCAUGCUCAUUUACUCUUAUAUGUCAUAUACUGCAUGUGUUAUAUGUUUGCACUAUAUGCUUUGUUUUUCCCUAAUAAAAAAAGAAAGUUAAAAUGAAAUAAUUGGAAACCAAACUAUGAAAAACGUAUUUCUCUUAUAUACUAAAAUCUGAUGCUGCAUGUGUACUUUGUGUAUACUUAUAUGAAUGUUGAUAUUGUGAUUAGAAAUUAAUAGUUGAAUGUUUUGCAAAGUAAAACUUUCAGUAAAGCUGUUGAACUCA